AUCUUGACAGAAUUGACGCGACGUGAUGAAUCUUGAACGUCAGCUCAGUGCAAAACAAUGCCCCAGCUCAGGAGUAAUCUCGUAGUUUUGAUUUGUGUAGUGAGCUGUUUGAAGGAGAAAAAGGAAGCGAAGAGGACAACUGAAAUGUAAUUUCGUUCCGCAACACACACCUCAUUGGUUGCAAAAUCAAUUACGUAAAUAACUAUGAUGUCAUGUUUCUGUGGAAGCAAAAGUGCAUGCAUUAGUGUUCGACCGCCACACGCCAGGAAAUCGUCUGUUACAGAAGAGUGCUUCAAGUGUCAUCGAGCUUGUCCAAAAAAAAAAAAAUUGCGGAGGUGAUAACAAAUUAUGAAAAUUGGAGGAAUGAUAAAAAACAUUAGUGUACAAUACGUGUAAAUUAAAUAUAUACAA